GUCAAUAGCUAAACCAUGUUGGAAACACUGGCUUUCCUCUGACCAUCAAAGUUGAGCAACAUUGUGCCUGAUUAAUACUUUCAUGGAUAAAAGUCUGAGAAUGUUAGGUGUUACCGAUU
rnacentral:rRNA from 1 species